UACGAAGGGGGCUAGCGUUGCUCGGAAUCACUGGGCGUAAAGCGCACGUAGGCGGACUCUUAAGUCGGUGGUGAAAUCCUGGAGCUCAACUCCAGAACUGCCUUCGAUACUGGGAGUCUCGAGUUCGGGAGAGAUGAGUGGAACUGCGAGUGUAGAGGUGAAAUUCGUAGAUAUUCGCAAGAACACCAGUGGCGAAGGCGGCUCACUGGCCCGGUACUGACGCUGAGGUGCGAAAGCGUGGGGAGCGAACAGG
rnacentral:rRNA from 1 species